rnacentral:rRNA from 1 species
UUUUUUUUUUUUUCUCGCUCAGAUUGAACGCUGGCGGCAGGCCUAACACAUGCAAGUCGAGCGGUAGCACAGAGAGCUUGCUCUCGGGUGACGAGCGGCGGACGGGUGAGUAAUGUCUGGGAAACUGCCUGAUGGAGGGGGAUAACUACUGGAAACGGUAGCUAAUACCGCAUAACGUCGCAAGACCAAAGUGGGGGACCUUCGGGCCUCAUGCCAUCAGAUGUGCCCAGAUGGGAUUAGCUAGUAGGUGGGGUAACGGCUCACCUAGGCGACGAUCCCUAGCUGGUCUGAGAGGAUGACCAGCCACACUGGAACUGAGACACGGUCCAGACUCCUACGGGAGGCAGCAGUGGGGAAUAUUGCACAAUGGGCGCAAGCCUGAUGCAGCCAUGCCGCGUGUGUGAAGAAGGCCUUCGGGUUGUAAAGCACUUUCAGCGGGGAGGAAGGCGAUAAGGUUAAUAACCUUGUCGAUUGACGUUACCCGCAGAAGAAGCACCGGCUAACUCCGUGCCAGCAGCCGCGGUAAUACGGAGGGUGCAAGCGUUAAUCGGAAUUACUGGGCGUAAAGCGCACGCAGGCGGUCUGUCAAGUCGGAUGUGAAAUCCCCGGGCUCAACCUGGGAACUGCAUUCGAAACUGGCAGGCUAGAGUCUUGUAGAGGGGGGUAGAAUUCCAGGUGUAGCGGUGAAAUGCGUAGAGAUCUGGAGGAAUACCGGUGGCGAAGGCGGCCCCCUGGACAAAGACUGACGCUCAGGUGCGAAAGCGUGGGGAGCAAACAGGAUUAGAUACCCUGGUAGUCCACGCCGUAAACGAUGUCGAUUUGGAGGUUGUGCCCUUGAGGCGUGGCUUCCGGAGCUAACGCGUUAAAUCGACCGCCUGGGGAGUACGGCCGCAAGGUUAAAACUCAAAUGAAUUGACGGGGGCCCGCACAAGCGGUGGAGCAUGUGGUUUAAUUCGAUGCAACGCGAAGAACCUUACCUGGUCUUGACAUCCACAGAACUUUCCAGAGAUGGAUUGGUGCCUUCGGGAACUGUGAGACAGGUGCUGCAUGGCUGUCGUCAGCUCGUGUUGUGAAAUGUUGGGUUAAGUCCCGCAACGAGCGCAACCCUUAUCCUUUGUUGCCAGCGGUUCGGCCGGGAACUCAAAGGAGACUGCCAGUGAUAAACUGGAGGAAGGUGGGGAUGACGUCAAGUCAUCAUGGCCCUUACGACCAGGGCUACACACGUGCUACAAUGGCAUAUACAAAGAGAAGCGACCUCGCGAGAGCAAGCGGACCUCAUAAAGUAUGUCGUAGUCCGGAUUGGAGUCUGCAACUCGACUCCAUGAAGUCGGAAUCGCUAGUAAUCGUAGAUCAGAAUGCUACGGUGAAUACGUUCCCGGGCCUUGUACACACCGCCCGUCACACCAUGGGGAGUGGGUUGCAAAAGAAGUAGGUAGCUUAACCUUCGGGAGGGCGCUUACCACUUUGUGAUUCAUGACUGGGGUGAAGUCGUAACAAGGUAACCGUAA